rnacentral:rRNA from 1 species
AUACGGAGGAUGCAAGCGUUAUCCGGAUUUAUUGGGUUUAAAGGGUGCGUAGGCUGUGCGUCAAGUCAGCGGUGAAAGACCGGGGCCCAACCUCGGAAGUGCCGUUGAUACUGUCGCGCUGGAGUACCCAUGCCGUGGGAGGAAUGAGUGGUGUAGCGGUGAAAUGCAUAGAUAUCACUCAGAACACCGAUUGCGAAGGCAUCUCACGAAUGGGGGACUGACGCUGAGGCACGAAAGCGUGGGGAUCAAACAGGAUUAGAUACCCUGGUAGUCCACGCAGUAAACGAUGAUGACUAACUGUCGGCGAUACACAGUCGGUGGCCAAGCGAAAGCGAUAAGUCAUCCACCUGGGGAGUACGACCGCAAGGUUGAAACUCAAAGGAAUUGACGGGG